rnacentral:SRP_RNA from 1 species
GCGCCGGCUUUGCGCGGCGAUCCUCCGCGAACCAUGUCAGGCGGGGAACCGAGCAGCAUUAAGCGGCCCGGAUCGCGCGAUGCAACCCGCCCGCGCGUC